rnacentral:lncRNA from 1 species
UGAAAUCCAAAACUUUUAGCUGUCUUAAGCAGUCCAGUGGGGUGGUGGUGUACAGCAAUCAUAAAGAACUUGGUUGUGUGUAUCUCAUAACUGGAGUCAUAUGCAGUAUCCUGUACAUGCAGGAGGGUGGAUUGCCGUGCCUUUGUUUUUAUUUCGAAGCACCGUUUCAGAUGUGGCGUAGGGCCAUGUCCCGACCUGCAGUCGACGGCGUAAUGGGGCAGUGAGUUUGCUGGAAAAUGUCUCUCUUAACAGUCGCGUGACUAUACCAGUAGCUGAUUCGAACAGCUGCUCUCCUCGCUUCGCUGUCGGCUACCCCAGUCUCCUACCUAUGGUUCUGAUAUGACUCUCGAUCAUGCGCUACAGGCAACGAGGUUCUUUAUGAUUGCUGUACACCACCACCCCACUGGACUGCUUCAGACAGCUGAUAGCGUUGGUAUGCAUUUCAGUCGUGUCAUUGGCGGAGCUACCUUGGGUUUUCUUGAUCUCGCUGGUUAUUUUGGGCACCCUCGGACACACACACGAGUGAGGUAGGGGAGACCUGCCUGCCGCCGUGGUUGUGGCUUCAUGUUUGCGCGUUCUUGCCUCACGACUACAGCCUCCUGUGUCCGAAUCUUCGAUAGUAAAUAAUACAGGGUUGAACUGUGCAAAAUAUCACUGUGUUAUGGCGCUAUCGCAAACCAUUCAGAUUUUGAAGUUAUGGUUUUGGGCUUGUGAGUGUCUCUCGAUAACUAGCUGAGUGCUUGUACGAUAAUUGUAUCAAUAUAAGAUCUAUUUAUCUAUCGCAGGUUCAGGUUAAUGUGCCGUUAUACUAUAUAGAUCACAUGGCAUCUGGUGCUUUGAGAUCAUAAAAACGGCGAGAUGGGAAGUGUGUUUCAAAGAAAAGUGUCUCCCGUAAGUUGGCUGGUCAUUGGAUGAGAGGAUCUGUUUCAUGCAUGCGGCUGGGGGUUGCAUACGUAAAAUUUGUGUUUGCCGUCAACAGAACAAAUACGGUGACGGUUAGCGACAGCUUGUCAUUUCACGAGCACCCGGUGUCAACAACUAGGUCGGUUAUCGCUCGGCUAGUAUUCGGGUGCUCCCGGCCAAAUCCGUGUGCUGAGGUGAGCCGGUGCUGGCUUUCUUUGAUUUCCAAGGUGACGACAAAAAGCAGGGCAACAAGAGACUUCCACAAGUUGGGAGGCCCGACAGGACU